rnacentral:rRNA from 1 species
UACAGAGGGUGCGAGCGUUGUCCGGAAUCACUGGGCGUAAAGGGCGCGUAGGUGGUGGCUUAAGCGUGCGGUGAAAGCUCGGAGCUCAACUCCGAGUCGGCCGUGCGAACUGGGCUCACUGGAGCAUAGUAGAGGCAGGUGGAAUUCCGGGUGUAGCGGUGGAAUGCGUAGAGAUCCGGAAGAACACCGGUGGCGAAGGCGGCCUGCUGGGCGGUAACUGACGCUGAGACGCGAAAGCGUGGGGAGCAAACAGG